GUUCGCGUAACUCAGUGGUAGAGUGUGAGAUUGCAAAGUGUUAUACUCAGUAAAUCUCGAAGCCCCGUGUUCGAACCACGGCGCGAACU